AGCGAACGCUGGCGGCAGGCUUAACACAUGCAAGUCGAACGGAUCCUUCGGGAUUAGUGGCGGACGGGUGAGUAACACGUGGGAACGUGCCUUUUGGUUCGGAACAACACAGGGAAACUUGUGCUAAUACCGGAUGUGCCCUUCGGGGGAAAGGAUUUAUCGCCAUUAGAGCGGCCCGCGUCUGAUUAGCUAGUUGGUGAGGUAAAGGCUCACCAAGGCUACGAUCAGUAGCUGGCUGAGAGGAUGAUCAGCCACACUGGGACUGAGACACGGCCCAGACUCCUACGGGAGGCAGCAGUGGGGAAUCUUGCGCAAUGGGGGAAACCCUGACGCAGCCAUGCCGCGUGAAUGAUGAAGGUCUUAGGAUUGUAAAAUUUCUUUCAGCGGGGACGAUAAUGACGGUACCCGCAGAAGAAGCUCCGGCUAACUUCGUGCCAGCA
rnacentral:rRNA from 1 species